UACGGGGGGCAAGCGUUGUUCGGAAUUACUGGGCGUAAAGGGCGCGUAGGCGGCCUGCUAAGUCACACGUGAAAUCCCUCGGCUCAACCGGGGGAACUGCGUGUGAUACUGGCGGGCUUGAAUUCGGGAGAGGGAUGUGGAAUUCCAGGUGUAGCGGUGAAAUGCGUAGAUAUCUGGAGGAAUACCGGUGGCGAAGGCGGCAUCCUGGACCGAGAUUGACGCUGAUGAGCGAAAGCUAGGGGAGCAAACGGG
rnacentral:rRNA from 1 species